rnacentral:piRNA from 1 species
UAGGUAAAUGAAGCAAUGGAAGGGUUUUU